UUUUUUAAUAAUUCGUAGCAUCGAUGAUGGGAAGCUUUUUUUUUUUGUUGCCUUUCUUUCUUACAUUUCAGCUUGGGCGGUGGCCAUCCGCCAUGGCCGAUUGGCAGCCAGCCGUCUGAGGAAUGGAAAACCGCCCCUCCACCUCCUCUUCCACCUUCUUCCCUGCCAACUAUAUGAAGAAAGGCCCCAAUGAGGAGGCGAGUAGAAGGCAGAGAAGGUGCCGAUGAAAAGCACCCGAGGACAGAGAGGGACGCAUCAAAAUAGGGGUGAGCCACUCAUAAGCGCGCGAAAACAAAAGGCGGGGUGUUUCUCUAGCAACCGCCGUUGGUUUUUUUUAAAUCCGGUGCCGCGGGAACCAUGCGGCGAUUCGUCAACGGCUGUUCCAUCCGGGACAGCAAGCAGCUUUCUUUUAUUGUUGGUGAUGUAUUGAGAUGAAAGAAGAAAGAUGGACCCCACAUCGAGCGCCAGCUGAGAGAUGAAUCCAGGCAGCAGUGCGAGUCUACGUCCGCGUUGGCUUGUUUUUUUCUACAAAGCAAGUCUUUGUUUUCUACA